AUUGAACGCUGGCGGCAUGCCUUAUACAUGCAAGUCGAACGGCAGCACGGGAGCAAUCCUGGUGGCGAGUGGCGAACGGGUGAGUAAUAUAUCGGAACGUGCCCAGUCGUGGGGGAUAACGCAGCGAAAGCUGUGCUAAUACCGCAUACGAUCUACGGAUGAAAGCGGGGGAUCGCAAGACCUCGCGCGAUUGGAGCGGCCGAUAUCAGAUUAGCUAGUUGGUGAGGUAAAGGCUCACCAAGGCGACGAUCUGUAGCUGGUCUGAGAGGACGACCAGCCACACUGGAACUGAGAAACGGUCCAGACUCCUACGGGAGGCAGCAGUGGGGAAUUUUGGACAAUGGGCGAAAGCCUGAUCCAGCAAUGCCGCGUGCAGGAUGAAGGCCUUCGGGUUGUAAACUGCUUUUGUACGGAACGAAACGGUGAGCUCUAAUACAGUUUGCUAAUGACGGUACCGUAAGAAUAAGCACCGGCUAACUACGUGCCAGCAGCCGCCGUAAGAC
rnacentral:rRNA from 1 species